UUCACCACAACAUCAGCAUGCUUCGUUCGAAGAUACAGAGACGUGACGCUUUUUCGUUGGGCUAGGAAGGGAAUCUUCUAACCAUCUUCAUUAUUUUGUUUCUCUACAUUCCGGAAGUGGAUGUUGGUAACUUUGUCAUGUGACUUUGUCAUGUGAACGUAAACUAGGUGGAAUGGUUCCACUCGCUAUACCGUAAAAAUUCAUUAAAAUAAAAAUGUGGUUUUAAUUUAAGGUUAGGCAUACGGUUAUCAGUGUGGUUAAGGUUAGGUUUAAAAUAACAUUUUAAGAAGACACAUUGUAGAAAUAGGCGGGGUUUAUGACUGCUUAUUUAUUUAUGUACGUAUGUGUGAUGUGGUUAGGAAACUAGCAACAUAUUAUAAAUGCAAGCAACGCCUCCUUAAUGAACAUGUUGCAAACCAUAAAACAGAUUUACAAAUAAUUUCAAGAAGUGAACAAGAAAAGCAAGGUGUGUGCACUGGCAAUUAUUUUUUUUGUAGCUAGUGUACUUAAUGGUCGUGGUGUCGAGAUAAAGUAGCUGAAUGUUGUCGCGGCAAAGCGAGGAAAGAACGGUGCGUAGUUGCUAGUAAGCGAGCCAACAAAUCUAACGUUUGUUUCAAGACUUACCAAAAUGUCAGAUUCAUACUCUGGUCCAGAGUUUGUGGACUACGAUGAUAUCAGACACGGGGCAAAAUUUCAAACUGGAUGCAGUUUAUCACAGUGCCAUCCGUUUUGUCACUAAAGCACCUUAUACCACCCACCACUGCGACUUGUACGCUCUAGUCGGCUGGCCCUCGCUACAUAUUCGUCGCCAGACCCACUGGCUCCAGGUCAUCUACAAGUCCAUGCUAGGUCCUUUGGGGGGCACCUUCCGGAAGGCCGACAGGCAGAGCUCCGCCAGCUAAGCGAGCUGCCCCGGGGGCCGAGCCGGGCACCAGGUCGGACCAGCCUGGUUCCCAGGCGCAAUGCCUGUCUGCCUGGUACAAGCGCGGCGUUGCUUCCAGGGGCGAAGUGCGAGAUGGUCCUGCCACGGUGCAUGUAGUUCGGUGUGGCACGGCAUUGGGUCCUCCCUUGUCAGCUGCCCCAAACAUCUGUGGUGACAACAGUACUCAGAACUCACAGAUGGCCGAAGCCCCCCCGAACCCAGAGUGGACCAGGAUUCAAACAAACAUUUGCACCGAAAUACAUUGUUUCAACCCCAUUGUUUUCAGGUUUCAGGAGUUUUGUGAGUUCAAUAAAACAUGUCCCUCCACAUUCAGACAAGGUUUUCAAGAGUGGUGGAGGUAAUAAAAAAAAAUCUCCCUGUCAUGCUCCCUCAGAUGGCGGUUACGGGAGACUCGAUGCCUGUUCCAAUCAGUGGUGCGCAUGAGCAGUUUCGCCCUGGAUAAAGAGAAAAUUACGUUGGGGCACAGGCUACAAUUCGUUGUACGCCCCCCAAGUUUUUGCAGUGUCAUCAUGUCGACUGUUCCCCUGGCCUCAGCGCCAGUAUUAAGUGAGAAAAUAUCCUCCCUGCUCCAGAAAUGGGCAAUACGAGUGGUUCCUCUGUCGGAAGCCCAGUACGGCUGGUACAGACGGUAUUUCCUGGUUCUGAACAGGGACGGGGGUUUACGCCCCAUUCUAGACAUGCGUGCCCUGAACAAACGUCUCAGAGUUCGCAAAUUCAAGAUGCUCACAAACCAGCGGCUGUUGCGAUCCGUGCGUCCCGGCAAUUGGUUCAUCACCAUCGACCUAAAGGAUGGUACUUUCACAGAAAGUUCCUGUGAUUCCAUUCCAAGAUGAUAGACACAUUUUUGGUACUCCCAUUCGGCUUGUUCCUCUCACAUUUCAAAGGUGGUGGAAGAAGCUCUGGCACCCUUGAGCGGCCAGGGGCUAAGGGUAUUGGCUGGUAGCAGCAGAGUCUAGGGAAUGAGUAGUGUUACACACAUCCAGGGUGGAGCAGUGCUCUCUUCAGGAGUGGAGACUACACCAGUGGGUGGUUGGCCAGAUAUGGGAGAAAGUCGGCAGGGCAGACGUAGAUCUUUACGCAUCAUGAGAUAACAGUGUCGUUUAUUUUUAAGCCCUCCCAGUUUCUGUUUUGCUAAUUCAGUUCGAGGUAAAGCAAUCUCUAAGCAGCGGUUACCUCAUUGGAUUGUGGAGGCAUAUACAGUGCAUUCAGAAAGUAUUCAGACCCCUACCCUUAUUCCACGUUUUGUUACGUUAUAGAGCUUUGCACACUCUUGGCAUGCUCUCAACCAGCUUCACCUGGAAUGCUUUUCCCACAGUCUUGAAGGAGGUCCCACAAAUACGGUGCACUUGUUGGCUGCUUUUCCUUCAACAGGUGUGUUGGAUCAUUGUCCUGUUGAAAAACAAAUGAUGGUCCCACUAAGCGCAAGCCAGAUGGGAUGGCAUAUCGCUGCAGAAUGCUAUGGUAGCCAUGCUGGUUAAGUGUGUCUUGAAUUCUAAAUAAAUCACUGACAGUGUCACCAGCAAAGCACCCCACACAUCACACCUCAUCUUCCAUGCUUCACAGUGGGAACCACACAUGCAGAAAUAAUCCGUUCACCUAAUCUCCGUCUCACAAAGACACGGUGGUUGGAACCAAGAAUUUCAAAUUUGGACUCAUCAGACCAAAGGACAGAUUUUCACUGGUCUAAUGUCCAUUGCUCGUUUUUUUGACCCAUGCAAGUCUCUUGUUGGUGUCCUUUAAUAGUGGUUUCUUUGUAGUAAUUGCAGUAAUAAGGCCUGAUUCACACAGUCUCCUCUGAACAGUUGAUGUUGAGAUGUCUGUUACUUGAACUCUGUGAAGCCUUUACUUGGCCUGCAAUUUCUGAGGCUGGUAACUCUAAUGAACUUAUCCUCUGCAGCAGAGGUAACUCUGGGUCUUCCUUUCCUGUGGCGGUCCUCAUGAGAGCCAUUUUCAUCAUAGCGCUUGAUGGUUUUUGUAACUGCACUUGAAAAAACUUUAAAAGUUCUUGAAAUGUUCUGUAUUGACUGACCUUCAUGUCUUAAAGUAAUGAUGGACUGUCCUUUACAUUUGCUUAUUUGAGCUGUUCUUGCCAUAAUAUGGACUUGGCAUUUUACCAAAUAGUGCUAUCUUCUGUAUACCACCCCUGUCUUGUCACAACACAACUGAUUGGCUCAAAUGCCUUAAGAAGGAAAUCAAUUCCGCAAAUUAACUUUCAACAAGGCAUAACUGAUAAUUGAAAUGCAUUCCAGGUGACUACCUCAUGAAGCUGGUUGAGAGAAAUCAAGGCAAAGGGUGGCUGCUUGGAAGAAUCUCAAAUAGAAAAAAAUAUAUUUUGAUUUGUUUAACACUUUUUUGGUUACAACAUGAUUACAUAUGUGUUAUUUCAUAGUUCUGAUGUCUUCACUAUUAUUCUACAACGUAGAAAAUAGUAAAAAUAAAGAAAAACCCUUGAAUGAG